rnacentral:rRNA from 1 species
GAUGAACGCUGGCGGCGUGCCUAAUACAUGCAAGUCGAGCGAACAGACGAGGAGCUUGCUCCUCUGACGUUAGCGGCGGACGGGUGAGUAACACGUGGAUAACCUACCUAUAAGACUGGGAUAACUUCGGGAAACCGGAGCUAAUACCGGAUAAUAUAUUGAACCGCAUGGUUCAAUAGUGAAAGACGGUUUUGCUGUCACUUAUAGAUGGAUCCGCGCCGCAUUAGCUAGUUGGUAAGGUAACGGCUUACCAAGGCAACGAUGCGUAGCCGACCUGAGAGGGUGAUCGGCCACACUGGAAUUGAGUCACGGUCCAGACUCCUACGGGAGGCAGCAGUAGGGAAUCUUCCGCAAUGGGCGAAAGCCUGACGGAGCAACGCCGCGUGAGUGAUGAAGGUCUUCGGAUCGUAAAACUCUGUUAUUAGGGAAGAACAAAUGUGUAAGUAACUAUGCACGUCUUGACGGUACCUAAUCAGAAAGCCACGGCUAACUACGG